rnacentral:rRNA from 1 species
CAGCAGCCACGGUAAUACGGAGGAUCCAAGCGUUAUCCGGAUUUAUUGGGUUUAAAGGGUGCGUAGGUGGCUUAUUAAGUCAGGGGUGAAAGACGGUAGCUUAACUAUCGCAGUGCCUUUGAUACUGAUGAGCUUGAAUGAACUAGAGGUAGGCGGAAUGUGACAAGUAGCGGUGAAAUGCAUAGAUAUGUCACAGAACACCAAUUGCGAAGGCAGCUUACUAUGGUUUUAUUGACACUGAGGCACGAAAGCGUGGGGAUCAAACAGGAUUAGAUACCCCAGUAGUCCCUGUCUCUUAUAC